rnacentral:rRNA from 1 species
GACGAACGCUGGCGGCGUGCUUAACACAUGCCAGUCGAACGGAAAGGCCCUGCUUUUGUGGGGUGCUCGAGUGGCGAACGGGUGAGUAACACGUGAGUAACCUGCCCUUGACUUUGGGAUAACUUCAGGAAACUGGGGCUAAUACCGGAUAGGAGCUCCUGCUGCAUGGUGGGGGUUGGAAAGUUUCGGCGGUUGGGGAUGGACUCGCGGCUUAUCAGCUUGUUGGUGAGGUAGUGGCUGACCAAGGCUUUGACGGGUAGCCGGCCUGAGAGGGUGACCGGCCACAUUGGGACUGAGAUACGGCCCAGACUGCUACGGGAGGCAGCAGUGGGGAAUAUUGCAGAAUGGGCGGAAGCCUGAUGCAGCGACGCCGCGUGCGGGAUGACGGCCUUCGAGUUGUAAACCGAUUUCGCCUGUGACGAAGAGUGAGUGACGGUAAUGGGUAAAGAAGCACCGGCUAACUACGUG